rnacentral:rRNA from 1 species
AUUGAACGCUGGCGGCAUGCUUUACACAUGCAAGUCGAACGGUAACAGGCCGCAAGGUGCUGACGAGUGGCGAACGGGUGAGUAAUGCAUCGGAACGUGCCCAGUCGUGGGGGAUAACGCAGCGAAAGCUGCGCUAAUACCGCAUACGAUCUAUGGAUGAAAGCGGGGGACCGUAAGGCCUCGCGCGAUUGGAGCGGCCGAUGACAGAUUAGGUAGUUGGUGGGGUAAAGGCUCACCAAGCCAACGAUCUGUAGCUGGUCUGAGAGGACGACCAGCAAAACGGGGCCUGGGAGACGGCCCAGACUCCUAAGGGAGGCAGCAGUGGGGAAUUUUGGACAAUGGGCGCAAGCCUGAUCCAGCAAUGCCGCGUGCAGGAAGAAGGCCUUCGGGUUGUAAACUGCUUUUGUACGGAACGAAACGGCUCUGGUUAAUACCUGGGGCUAAUGACGGUACCGUAAGAAUAAGCACCGGCUAACUACGUGCCAGCCGCCGCAGUAA